AUUGAACGCUGGCGGCAGGCUUAACACAUGCAAGUCGAGCGGGGUGAUGGUGCUUGCACUAUCACUUAGCGGCGGACGGGUGAGUAAUGCUUAGGAAUCUGCCUAUUAGUGGGGGACAACAUCUCGAAAGGGAUGCUAAUACCGCAUACGCCCUACGGGAGAAAGCAGGGGAUCACUUGUGACCUUGCGCUAAUAGAUGAGCCUAAGUCGGAUUAGCUAGUUGGUGGGGUAAAGGCCUACCAAGGCGACGAUCUGUAGCGGGUCUGAGAGGAUGAUCCGCCACACUGGGACUGAGACGCGGCCCAGACUCCUACGGGAGGUAGCAGUGGGGAAUAUUGGACAAUGGGGGGAACCCUGAUCCAGCCAUGCCGCGUGUGUGAAGAAGGCCUUAUGGUUGUAAAGCACUUUAAGCGAGGAGGAGGCUUACCUAGUUAAUACCUGGGAUAAGUGGACGUUACUCGCAGAAUAAGCACCGGCUAACUCUGUGCCAGCCGCCGCAGUAAGAC
rnacentral:rRNA from 1 species